rnacentral:piRNA from 1 species
AGAUGUAUAUUACCUGUGGUCGCAGA